UUUGACCUCAAAUCAGGUAGGACUACCCGCUGAACUUAAGCAUAUCAAUAAGCGGAGGAAAAGAAACCAACAGGGAUUGCCUCAGUAACGGCGAGUGAAGCGGCAAAAGCUCAAAUUUGAAAUCUAGCACCUUCGGUGUUCGAGUUGUAAUUUGAAGAUGGUAACCUUGGGUUUGGCUCUUGUCUAUGUUCCUUGGAACAGGACGUCAUAGAGGGUGAGAAUCCCGUCUGAUGAGAUG
rnacentral:rRNA from 1 species